rnacentral:sRNA from 1 species
GCGGCAGGUUCGGUGUUGAGCGCAGCGAAACAACGGAGCCGGUUACGGCGACGGCCCGAAGUGCGAGCGAAGCGAGUCAUCCUGCACGACCCACCA